rnacentral:rRNA from 1 species
UAGGGAAUCUUCCACAAUGGGCGCAAGCCUGAUGGAGCAACACCGCGUGAGUGAAGAAGGGUUUCGGUUCGUAAAGCUCUGUUGUUGGAGAAGAACGUGCGUGAGAGUAACUGUUCACGCAGUGACGGUAUCCAACCAGAAAGUCACGGCUAACUACGUGCCAGCAGCCGCGGUAAUACGUAGGUGGCAAGCGUUAUCCGGAUUUAUUGGGCGUAAAGCGAGCGCAGGCGGUUGCUUAGGUCUGAUGUGAAAGCCUUCGGCUUAACCGAAGAAGGGCAUCGGAAACCGGGCGACUUGAGUGCAGAAGAGGACAGUGGAACUCCAUGUGUAGCGGUGGAAUGCGUAGAUAUAUGGAAGAACACCAGUGGCGAAGGCGGCUGUCUGGUCUGCAACUGACGCUGAGGCUCGAAAGCAUGGGUAGCGAACA